GCCGACAGCUAGCUCUCUGCACAUGGUUGCCCACUGAAGCUAAGCUGGGCUGUGCCUGGUCAGUACCUGGAUGGGAGACCACAUGGGAAAGUUAGGUUGCUGCCGGAA
rnacentral:rRNA from 1 species